rnacentral:rRNA from 1 species
GGGGAAUAUUGGACAAUGGGCGCAAGCCUGAUCCAGCAAUGCCGCGUGUGUGAAGAAGGUCUUCGGAUUGUAAAGCACUUUCGGCGGGGACGAUGAUGACGGUACCCGCAGAAGAAGCCCCGGCUAACUUCGUGCCAGCAGCCGCGGUAAUACGAAGGGGGCUAGCGUUGCUCGGAAUGACUGGGCGUAAAGGGCGCGUAGGCGGUUUGCACAGUCAGAUGUGAAAUUCCUGGGCUCAACCUGGGGACUGCAUUUGAUACGUGCAGGCUUGAGUGCGGAAGAGGGUUGUGGAAUUCCCAGUGUAGAGGUGAAAUUCGUAGAUAUUGGGAAGAACACCGGUGGCGAAGGCGGCAACCUGGUCCGUGACUGACGCUGAGGCGCGAAAGCGUGGGGAGCAAACA